CUUUUAGAUAGAAGAGAUUAGAGAUUUGGGACUGGUGGCAACUGGUAACGUUUUCAGUGUUUGGUAAACAGCCAGGGUCCGGAGCUCUGGGAACAGCCUGAUUUAGCUCUUUGUUUAAGUUUUGUGUUAGAGGCUCCCAAGAAGCUGAUGCAGGGGAAAGAAAUUAACAACCAUGGCUCAUUCACAGCCAGGCAGCCAAAUGGACAGCUCUAUAAGACUCAAGCCGACAGCGGAGAGAGUGCAACCAAACAGCCUUGGCCCAGCUUUCAGAGGAGAACGUUAUUCACCCCAACUGCUCUGCAUCUGCCUGGAUGUCUGCCAAGAUCUCAGUCUUCUUUCCACCAAUGACCCCUCGCGCUGCUUCCAGAAGCCAAGAAAGUGGGCUUUGUCCUUGGGGAUUUAGGAGGCGGAGCGGCGCCCCCUUGAGGCCACAUGGUGGAGGCAGCGAUGAGACCUGGAGUCUAAAAUUCAGACUGAAUCACAGGAAGAAGCUAUUUACACAAGUCAAACAUGGUCCAAUCUUGGCAAUUUCAUAAGGUUCCAAUCCUUAAGGGAUCAAAACCUGGCCAACUGCUUCCACCGAGAGGUGUGCCUUUCAAUGCCAGGCUUGGAGUGUCCCUCUUUAUUUAAAAAGGAGAGGAUUCCACAGCAGAGCUUCUCAAACUCUUCCACCCAAAUCCCCUCACCACAGAGGGACAGGAGUCCUGGGCAUGUAGCCUAAAGCAGCCAGGAGAAAAAAACCUUGACCUUAAUUUUUUUAAUGAUUUCACAUGAAUCAGUGGAAUGUGUUUAUGAUAAAAUCAUCUCCUCCUGAAAUACAUGUGUAAAACUGCUGCCCCAGUUAAACGCACUUAGUCUAACCAAGCCCUAGGAUUGGCCUCUCCAGCAUGAGAAGCAUUUCCAGCACUCCAGCUCCCCAGCUCCCACUCUGGGAUCCCACCUCAGACCCUCCCACUUCCUUGCACUCUGGCCUCUCGCUCUUGACCCUGCUCCCGCCACGCUCUUUCCUCAGAGUCCAUCAGUCCUGUCUUGUCUUCACCUUGGUCUCUGCCAAGUGUGGGUCCAAGUCAUAUAUUUGGGCUGUGAUCACAGGAACCCCAAGCCCCAGACCUCCCAAAGCACCCUAUGGAGAGACCUUACCCUCCUGGACAGACCCUCUCCCCCCAGCUAGACCUCAUCCUCUGGGUAGACCCAUCUCCCCAACCAGAACUCACCCUCCUGAGUAAACCCCAUCCCCCUAGCUAGACUUCAUCCUCCUGGACAGAUCCCAUCCCCCCAGCUAGACCUCACCCUCUUGGGUAGAUGCAUCUCCCCAACCAGAACUCUCCUGGGUAGACCCCUUCUACCCAGCUAGACCUGAUCCUCUGGACAGACCCCAUCAUCCCAGCUAGACUUCUCCCUCCUGGACUGUCCCCAUCCCCCCUCCAGCCAGACCUCACCCCUCUGGGUAGACCCCAUCCCCCCAACUAGACCUCACCCUCCUGGAUGGACUCUACCCUCCUGGAGAUACCUUCCCCUCCUGGGUACAUCCCACGUGGCUACACACUCCUUCCCCUGUCAGCUUUCUCCCCCAGGGUUCUGGGCAGCAGAGUCUGUGAUAAAGGAUACUAAGUGAUUCCCCAAUACUUCCCGUUUCCAGCCUCCAGUGGGCUCUCCCUGGGGCUAACGGUUCUUUUUGCUAUUUCUCCAGGCUUUGCCUGAUGACAAGUAUACUCUGAGAGUGUCCUAAUGAUACAGAUUUUGGACCCUAUCCCAGUUCUACUGAAUCCAAGUCUCUGGGGGAGGAGUUGGGGCUCUGCAUCUGGACACCUUCCUGCAGGGUCCCUCCUGGGAGGCAAGCCCGGGGAGCACCGCUGAGGCUCGCCUCAGUGCCCAUCCUAGACCUUCAGCAGCUAGCAGAGGAUGUCCCCACCAUCCCUCAGCCCACACUCCCACUGUCGCCCCAGCCAGGCUUGGCACUGCCUCCUUUCUCAGAAGAUUAAGACCAUCUGCUGUUUCCCAAGUUUCCCACCCUCCACCCUAAAAAUUUCUCCGUUUCCCAGUCUUUCCUCGUCUCUCAGAAAAUAAACAUCUUCCCAGGCUGCCUCCCCAGUGGGUCUGCACUCCUUGCUGUCUUCCCAGCACCUGCCCUUCCAGCCCGCCCUCUGUGUGUCCAGUGUUUCCCUCACCAAAGGACUCGCUUUGUUUUUCAAAUUGGAGGUUUUGUCUUCUCCCUAAAAACCAAAACAUCUCCCUGAGAAGUAACUCCCUCAAGCUACUGAUACGGAAGGGGGGCGGGGAAGUGCUGGGAAGGGAAGGGUGUGGUCCCUGGCUAGGGCUCCACCCCCGGGCCUGUGCCCACAGACCUAGGUGAGGACAGGCAUUUCUGUUUUCGUGCUUAAAUGUUGGAUUUCCCAAGACUACCCUGGCCUACCACACCCUCAUUCUGUGCCUGUAAAAAAACCUGAGAGCUUAGCAGGCACGCACACAAGCCUCUGGACGUCAAGAGGAACACACCGGUGUAAGAGCAGACUGAUAGUGGCCCACGGCAGGCUGGCAGGCCAUCGACAGGCAGAACCACUCAGUGCAGCUGGAGGACAGCCUGGCCACGGAGCGGUCCGACUUCAGAGGGGAAAACCACCUCCCCACUCCGUCUCCCUUCUGGCUCCCCCAUCUGAGAGCUACUUCCACUCAAUAAAAC
rnacentral:lncRNA from 1 species